GUCUAUGGCCAUGCUCCCCUGAACAAGCCUGAUCCCGUCUGAUCUGAUCUCGGAAGCUAAGCAGGGUCGGGCCUGGUUUGUACUUGAAUGGGAGACCACCUAGGAAGACCAGGUGCUGUACAUG
rnacentral:rRNA from 1 species